rnacentral:lncRNA from 1 species
UUUGGUCACGUGAAAUUUAACAUCUCUUGAGAAAUAGAAAUCGAAAUAAGAGAUGGAUUAGAUGAGGAAGUAGAAGAAGAAGAAGUUUGUGAAGGUGAAUGAGGAGAAAGAAGUGAAACAAGAGAAGGAGGAGAGAGUGAAGAUUUAAGUGAACUAUUUAGAAUUGAAGGAGCAGUAUAACGAUGAGCUGUAGGAGGAGAGGAGGAAUCACUCAAGGUGAGUAAUUGUUGGAGUAGAAGAAGUGAUUUUUAAAGGAGAUGAAGUGGUGAAAGAAAGAUAUUUGGACGAAUAAAAUUUAACAUCUCUAGACAAUUAGAAUGUGGAAUAAUUGAUGGUGAAUGUGCAUGGGCAGAAAGAACAGAAACAUGGGAAGUAGGAGUAGAGAGUGAAGAUUCCAGUGAACCAUUAAGAAUUGAAUGAGCUGUAUAAGGAUGAGCUGUAGGAGGGGAGGAAAGGAAUCACUCUCAGGAGAUUAUAAACUGGCGGAGAAGAGGGAUUUUUUAUUGAGGUGAAGUGAUGAAUGAAAGAAAUUCAGACUCAUGAAAUUUAACAUCUCUACAGAAUUAGAAACAGAAAUAGGAGAUGGAUUAAAUGAGGGGGAUGAAGAAGAAGGAGAAUUUGGUGAAGAUGAAUGAGGGGAAGAGUGUGAAAAAUUGGAAGGAGUAGAGAGGGUUACUGUUCAUGUGAACCAUUAAGCGUUUAAGGAACAAUGUAAGUAUGUGCAGUAGGAGGAGAGGUGGAAUCACGCUAAGGUUAGUAAUAGUUGGAGAAGAAGAACUGAUUUUUGAAGGAGUUCAAGUGGUGAAAGAAUGAUUGGGCUCAUGAAAUUUAACUUAUCUAGAAAGUGGAAUAGAAGAUGGAUUAGAUUAGAUGAGGGAGAAAGAAGAAGAAUGAGAAGUUUGUUAAGGUGAAUGUGGAGAAGGAAGUGACACAUGGGAAUGAGGAUGAGAGGGUGAAGAUUAAAGUGAACCAUUAAAAAUUUAAGGAGCAGUAUAAGGAUGAGCAGUAGGGUGAGAAGGUAUCACUCCAAGCCAAGUACUAUUUGGAGAAGUGUUAUAUGAAGGAGCUUAAUUGGUGAAAAAGGAAAAUUUGGACUCUUAAUAUUUAUGAAUAUAAGGAUGAGCAGUUGUAGCAAAAGAGGAAUCACUACAAGCUGAGUUUUGGUUGGAGAAGAACUGAUUUUUGAAGAAGGUGAAGUGGUAAAAGAAAGAUCUUAGAGACAAGUGGGAUAGGAGAUGGAUAAGAUUAAAUGGGGAGGAAGAAAAAGAAGGAGAAGUUGGUGAACAUGAAUGAGUAGAAAAGCAACAAAGGAAGGAGGAGGAGAAGAGGGUACAGAAUCAAGUGAGAAAUAUUUGGAGAAGACUAAGUGAUUUUCGAAAGAGGUAAAGUGGUGACAGGAGGAAAUUGGACCCAUGAAAUUUAACAUCUAUAGUGUAGAGAAUUAGAAAGUGGAAUAGGAGAAAAAUUAGAUGGGAGGAAGAAGAAGAAGUUGGGGAAGGUUUAUGAGAAGGAACAGUUGGAGAAGUAGUAGUAGGAGAGGAGGAAUAGCUCAAGGUUAGUAACAGUUGGAGAAGUAGUGAUUUUUGAAGGAGGUGAAGUGGUGAAAGAAUGAAAUUGGACCCAUGAAAUUUAACAUCUCUAGAGAAUUGGAAAGUGGAAUAGGAGAUGAAUUAGAUGGAAGGAAGAAGAAGUUGCUGAACGUGUAUGCGAAGAUGUGAAACAUGGGAAGGAGGGGGACAAGGUGAGGAAUCAGGUGGAUCUAAUUUAUUAGUUUAAUAGCUGUAUACAAUAUAUACCUUUUAGUUUUAUAUGAAAAGUACUCAAAUAGUGCCUUGCUUAUCUUUUGCUUUUCAACUACCUAUAUGAUUAUAUUAGAUUCCAAUAACGCCCUGGAUUUUGAAAGAAGUACUUGAGUCAUUGAAGAAAGAUUAGAAUGUUUGCAUCCUCAAGUUGCCAGUGGUAGAAGUAAUGCUGUGAAAAAUGCCAGAAGAGAAGACACCUUCAAGUUGAAGGAGAAGGAUUUUGGUUUUGGAGAAGAUAGAAAAUUGUUGAAUGAUCUGAAGGUUUCGAAGGUGAUGGAUAAGUACCCAGGUAGAGCUUUCACUAAAUUUGUCUAUCUGAUUAUGAUGUUUAAUAUUUUCUUUUUAUUCUUUCCCCUUUUUUUCUUGAAAAAGAUAAUCACAACUGAUACUCUUUCUUAUUUUCCAAAAAAUAGUCUUCUCUUAUUUCCAAUUAUGUUGAAUGAACAAAAGUUAUAACAAAGAAAAGUUUUUGUAUUUCUUGCAUUUUGCAGUGCCCUGAUUUAUUGUUGUACUAGGUCUCUCACACCCCAGCAGAUGGUAGAUACACAAUUGAGAUGGCAGUGAUCAAUGUAUGUUGGAGCAUGAGAAACUUCCAUGCUUUUAAGAUAAUUACUAAUUAAUUUUUUUGAUGAUACUUAUAUUCUCAAUUUGUAUGCAUUCUCUUUUCUAAUGAAAAGCUAUUUCAUUCUGGUGAGCAGGUCAUUUUCGAAUUCUGUUUCUUGGCACUCCUUGCUGUUUGAGGCUCCUUGGCUGGGUCACUCCUGUGCUUUUUAAAUGUAUUCUAUCUCAGCACCUUAAAGUAGUUACUUUUUGAAAAAGAGCUACAAAGUGUUCUCAUAACCCCACUAUCCAUAUUAUACUAUCUCCGCACCUUAUUGAACUUUUUAUUUCCCAGUCCCAUGAAAAAUUAUUGUUGUAUUGAAUGUAACUGGUAUACGUAUAUGUCUUUCAGAUUGUGUGGAUCUGUACUUCAAUUCUAGAGAAGCCCAUCCGAAAAUGAUGAGAAGUCUCACAAAAAAAUGCUAGGCUACAAGUGUGUGCUGCAUUGCGAAGAUACAGAAGAAUCUCUAAGGUGUACAGAAAUUGCCUUUGACUUUUUCGAAUUCUCUUUCUCUUUGGUUGAAAUGAGCUUCUAAUUUUAAAAUUUUUUUUUUGUAGUGCUUUUUUUUUCUUCGAGGCUGAAUAACAUAAAAUGACUUCCACUCUUUGAAUGCUGGCGUCAAAUAAGGUGCUUCAGUUGAGCUGGUCUGCUUCAAAUUUUUAUUUUGGGGUCAGGUGUCAAAUCUUCAGGUAUUCAUCUUGUAACCUGUUCAAGUGUGGUAGCUAUUUAUAUUAAACAAGUAAGUUUUCAUCUAUUAAACAAAAUAGUGCUUGAAUCUGAACCUGCUUGCCAUAAAUUUACGAUGCAUGAUUUUGCAAGGUCAGGAUCCCUGCUUACUAGCAGGAAAUCAUAUAUGUAAACCUGUGCAACUGUGGCAGGUUUUAGAUUAAAUUACUAGGUUGUCAUUAUUAUACUAUUUAAUUUAAAGUUUGAGUAAUUAAACGAAGACAAUUAAUAAGCUUUAUCCCUAAAACUUUAAGAUAUCUACUGAGUUUGUAGGAGAUGAGAUAGCAAACCUUGAUGCUUAUCCAAUAACUCAUAAAAUCCAACAAGUAGCUUUGGAGAAUUAUUUGUAGCUAGUCAGACGUAUUUUAGUUUGUAAAGUAAGUAGGAUCACAAUCCAGAGAAGUAAAUUAUUUUUGUAUUUACCUAAUGUUUAGAUUAUGUUAAGGGUUGGGCUCUUUUAAGUUCUAAACAGUGUUGUUAAUUGCGGAAAAUAGCAGAAAGCUAAAAGUCUGCCAUUUCAAGCUGUGAAAGCAGCAAAGACGGGGAAAUAACAGAGUAGCGGUGAGCCCUAAGAGCGCUACACUAUAGCGCUGGUGAGCCCUUUGAGCGCUUUGCUAUAGUGCGUGCUUUAGUGCCUCUAUAACCGCUAUUUAACAACAGUGGUUUAAACUACUCUGAAUGUCCUAUAUUAUUUCUAAAUACUAAUAUAGGUGAAUAGUUCCUAGGUGUAAUGGGUUAGGUGCUUUUUGCUCAUGAAGCAGUUUCUGGCGGCUAGCGACAUUUAUGUUUACAAUUUCAAUCAAAUUGCGGGAGUUCGGACACCCAUUGGGAGGGUUCAAACCCCCCACAAAACAACCUUCUGCUUGUAGUGAAUCCACAACUAAGGGAUGUUUUAGAACCCCAGCUAAAUAAUGCAUGUCUGAGAGGUCAAUGUCCUAUAUUAUUUCAAAAUACUAAUAUAAGUGAAUAGUUCCCAGGUUUAGGCCCCGUUUGGAAAAACAGCUUAAUUAAGCACUUAUGGUCAUAAGCGCUUAUGACAUAAGCGCUUAUUCAUAAGCUAUUUUUGAAAAUUUAUUGAAAUAAAUUAAAAAUAAGCUAUAUAUAAGCAUAAGCUGUUUUUCAUAAGCUAUCCUGAGUAGCUUAUGAAAAUAAGCUGAAAAUAGCUUAUGGCAGGUUAUAAGCUGUUUGCAUAAGCCCUCCCAAACACUGGUAUAAGAGCUUAUGGUGUCAGAUAAGCUCAAAUAAGCUCUUCCAAACUGGGCCUUAAUGGGUUAGGUGCUUUUUGCUCAUGAAGCAGUUUCUGGCUGCUACCCACAUUUAUGUUUACAAUUUCUUUCAAUUUGCGGGGGUUCAAACCCCCGCAAAACAGCCUUCUUCUGCCUGUAGUGAAUCCAUAACUAAGAGAGGGUUUAGAACCCCCGCUAAAUAUGUCCGAGAGAGCUAGCCAGGAAUACUUUGUGGCGAGUGUAACUUCAAUCUCCUGGUUUAGUUUGGUUCUCUUCUGUAGCUUUUUCCUUUAACCGUACUCACCCUUGCCCAAUAUUGACUAGAUGAUAUGCAUUUGAGAAGAAAGAUUUCUUACUAAGGUAAUAUCUACAAUUAUAUUAAAUAAUGCAUUCUAAAUAUUAUUAGGCAAAUUUGGUAUACUAAACAUAUUCUAAUAACACAUUAUGAUUUAGUUUCAUUUAUUUUUUUCUUCUCAAACUGUGAUUGAUAUUUAAUGCUUAUUUUUAAUUUUUUUUUAUAGAAGUAUGAGAAGUUAUAUAAUUACUAGUUUAUAUAUAAAAAAUCUUGUUCGGAAAAUAAUUAACAUUUUUUAGUUUAAAAUAAUUAAACUUGAGUGAAAAACAUACAUAAAGAUUUAAAAUCUUGUUGGGAUACGAUUUUAGAUAUAAAAUCUUUUAAUUUUUGAAAGGAUCUUAUUUUGAUAUUAUGAAAGCUGACUUAAAUUUAUGACAGUUCAUUGUUUGACACUGAGACACGGAAAGCGUGUGAGAAGAAAGUUACCGUUACUCGCGUAAAAAGUAAGUAACCUUUAUCACUAUAAAUAUUGCAUUUGGUUUACUCGCGUAAAAAGUAAAGUUACCUUUAUCACUGUACUAAAUUGCAUUUGCAUGCAGAAACCAUGCUCUGCUCUCUCUCUCUCUCUCUCUCUGAACCAAAGCAACACUCACUCUCACUCCAGCGUCGUCGACAAUCAACCUUCCGGUGGCAUCGUCGCUUUUCCGGCAAUCAAACCCUAGACGACAUUCACUGAUGCAUGGGUUCACUCGAUCGGUUCUUGAACACUUCUUGGUGCGAUGGACGAACAAGUUGUCGCCGCCGCCGGAAAUGGGUUCACUCGAUCGGUUCUUCAACACUUCUUGGUCCGAUGGACGAACAAGUUGUCGCCGCCGCCGGAGAUGGGUUCACUCGGUUCUUGAACACUUCUGAUUCAUGCCGGUAUGUCACAAACUCUCGGUUUUUCUUUCUAUUUCUGAGAUUAGAUCUUCUGUUAGUUUAUAUGAUUUUCUUAUUAAUGUUUUCUUUACUAUGGGUAUGUUUCUUUCUGAGUUGAUUGAUUUUGCAUUUGGGUUUCAUCUUUGGAGUGUUUAGAUUUCUGGCUAAAUUGUUUCAUCGUUUUGCAGGAGAAACGUCUCGCUAGUUAUGAGUAUGGACGCUAUGGAAACCCAACCAGUACAGUUUUAGAGGAGAUCGAAGAUAAGGUUUGUGUGUUUGUUUAAUUUCGUGAUUAUCAUCAUAUCAUGUUUUUAAGUUGUGAGGUCGUUUAAUGAGGUUUCUUGCCAUUAUUGAAACAGUGAACUGGAGGGUGCUGAAUCAACUGUCUUGUUAAUGGCGGACAUCUUGUGACCACCAAGGAUUGUUACAGGAAGACCAGAAUAUUCAUAGAGACUGUGCUCCCUAAGAUGGGAACCAAGGUAUAUGGAAACUGCUGAUUAUAUAUAUUGUCAUGUAACAAUGACAUUAAUAUGCUAUAUGUCUUGUCUCCCGUCCCUGCUUAUUUAUAUUAUUGAUUUGUUAUUCUUGUAAAAUGGAUUUUUUUAAAAUUGUUGUAUAAGAAUACGCAUGAGUGUGGUUGAAUUGUGUUUUAUAUUAAAAUUGAAAUGUAUGGUGGAAGUAUAUUAUUCUAUUUUAGCAGACUUAUAUUUCUUUGCUGUUCAUCAUUCAUCUGGAUGAUGUGUAUUUUUAUGUUGCAUUUUUCCCCCAUAUACAUUGAAGCUAUGUUUGGUUUAGUCUUUAGAGUAGGGGAGGGGCCCCGUGCAAGGGAUUCAAAGGGAGAUGAGGGAAGAGGUUCUAAAUCUUACCGUGUUUGGUUAGAGGGAAGGGAGGGGAGUAGAAGGAAAGGGAGUGGAAAUUUCCCUCUUGUUUGGUUUAUGAGGGGAGGAGAGGUAUUUUAAAACUAUUUUACUUUUAUUGCCCUCAUUUUCAAAAAAAAGUUUUAGUUUCAAAAAUGAGGAAGGACAUUUUAGUCAACACAAUUUAUCUCCCUUCCAUAUUCACCCAAUUUUGGAGGGAACCAAAAUUAAAUUAGGAUGAGUUUUGGCCCCUUCCAUUUCCCUCCCCUCAUCCCAAAAUUUGAACCAAACAUGAUAGUUUUAAAAUUUUCCUCUUCUCUCCAUUCCCCCUACCAAACACUGAAAAUGUUUGGCACACAGUAUAUGCUUAUACCGUUUUUUUGUUCUGUGUAGGGCUGUCUAUUUGAAAAGCAUUGACCCAGAUACAGCAACAACUUAACAUAUAUGAUGUGGUGUAUGUGAAGUAAUUUGAUAAGGUUUGUAACACAUGAUUAUGAGUUCAAUUGUUUUCUCUUAUGUUGCUUAUGCUCAUUAUCUCGCAUAAAUACUGUUGGCUGUUUGUUCUAUAUGGUUAUUAAGUUUACCGUUAGUUUUAUUUCUUAAGAGAUUGAUUUAUAUUUACUUUGAUUUUUUUAUAGAUUGUGCAUUUUCCCGAACCCCUGAAAUUGGAUAUUGUUGUUAGCAUUCCAGAUCACGUCACGCCUUUCAUCUUCGUUUUGAUCAGUGGUAUCAGGUUUCAUGUCUUUUCUUGUUCCCUCAUUUUGCUGCUAGUGAAUAAUUUAUUCUCAAAUGUAUAUGUGUAUGUGUAGAGUCCUUAUUUGGAGAAAACAUUAGAUGAUAUAGCUCAGCUAGUUAAAAUUUUAUGUAUUGUGUCUUAAAUAGGAAGCAUAAGCGCUGGAUAGUUAACAAACGAGUGGGAUGAGGUUUGAGUUUGUAUAUACCAGCUUUAGAUGUGGUAAACGUAGGGCGCGUAGGCAGAAUUCGAGUGUAGGCAGAAUGGAGGAGCAGAGAGUAGAGGUGGAAAGAAUUAGAAAGUGGAAUAGGAGAUAGAUUAGACGAGUAGGAUCAAAAAGAAGUAUAAGUUGGUGAAGGUGAAUGAGGAGAAGGAAUUAAAACAUGUGAAGGAGGAGAAGAGGGUGAAGAUUAAAGUGGACCAAUAUGAAUUGAAGGAGCAGUAUAAGGACGAGCAGUAGGAGGAGAGGAGGAAUCACGGGAAGCAGUAAAAGGAGAGUAGUAAUCAUUCCAAGGAGACUAUAAGUUGGCGUAGAAAAGUGGUUUUGUAAUGUGGUGAAGUGAUGAAAGAAGGAAGUUGGGACUCAUGAAAUUCAACAUGUCUACAGAAUUAGAAAGUGGAAUAUGAGAUGUAUUAGAUGGGGAGGAAAAAGUAAGAGGAGAAUUUGGGGAAGGUGAUUGAGGGGAAGAGAGUGAAAAAUUGGAAGGAGUAGAAUGGUUAAUAUUCAAGUGAAUCAUUAACAGUUUAUGGAGCAAUGUUUGGAUGAAUAGUAGGAUACGAUGUGGAAUCACUCCAAGGUUAGUAAUAGUUGGAGAAGAAGAACUGAGUUUUGAAGGAGGUGAAGUGGUGAUUGUAAGUAAUUUGGACUCAUGAAGUUUAACAUCUCCUGAGCAUUAGAAAGUGGAAUAUAAGAUGGUUUUAAUUAGAUUGGGAGGAAGAAGAAGAUGGAGAAGUUGGUUAAGGCUAAGUAGAGAACGGAAGGAUUUGUGGGAAGGAGGAGGAGAGGGUGAAGAUCUAAGUGAACCAUUACGGAUUGAAGGAACAGUAUAAUGAUGGGCAGUAGGAGGAGAGAAGGUAACACUCUAAGCCGAGUAAUAUUUGGAGAAGAAGUAAUUUUUGAAGGACGUGAAGUGGUGAGUGAAGGAAAUUUGGACUCUUAAACUUCAACAUUUCGAUAAAAUUAAAAAGCGGAAUAGGAGACAGAUUAAAUUAGAUGGAUAGGAAGAAGAAGAAUGAGAAGUUGGUGAAGGUAAAUAAGGAGAAGGAAGUGAUACAUGGGUAAACAGGUGGAGACGGUGAUGAUUCAAGUGAACCAUGAAGGAUUGAAGGAGGAGUAUAAGGAUGAACAGUAGAUAAUAGUUGGAGAAGAUGAAGUAAUGAAAGAUGUAAUUUUAGACAAGUGAUAUUUAACAUCUGUACAGAAUUUGAAAGUGGAAUAGGAGAUAAGUUGGAUUAGAUGAGGAGGAAAUAGAAGAAGGAGAAGUUGGUUAAGUUGAAUGAGUAGAAGGAAGUGAAGCUUGGGAAGGAGGAUGAACAGUAGAUAAUAGUUGGAGAAGAUGAGGUGAUGGAAGAUGUAAUUUUCGACAAGUGAUAUUUAACAUCUGUACAGAAUUUGAAAGUGGAAUAGGAGAUAAGUUGGAUUAGAUGAGGAGGAAAUAGAAGAAGCAGAAGUUGGUUAAGGUGUAUGAGUAGAAAGAAGUGAAGCUUGGGAAGGAGGAUGAGAAUGUGAUGAUUCAAGUGAAACUUUAAAAGUUAAACUACCCGUAUAUAUGGAUGAGCAAUAAGAUGAGAGGAGAAUCUCUCCAAGGUGAGUAAUUGUGGGAGAAGAAGUGAUUUUUUUAAGGAUGUGAAGUGAUGAAAGAAUGAAAUUUGGACUAAAGAAAUUUAACAUGUCUAGAGAUUUAGCUAGUGGAAUAGGAGAUGAAUUAGACGUGUGACAGAAGAAAAAGAAAGAAAAGUUUGUGAAAGUGAUGGAGAAAAAAA